rnacentral:lncRNA from 1 species
GAAAAACUCAUCUUUUGAGGAGAAAUUCAAGCUGCAGAAAUUUGCAUAAGUAGCUAGGAGCCUAAUGUUAAUCCCCAAGACCACGGGGAAAAUGUCUCCAGGCCAUGUCAGAGACCUUCAGAGCAGCCCCUCCCAUCACAGGCCCAGAGGCUGAAGAGGAAGAGGUGGUUCUGGGGGCCGGGCCCAGGGUCCCAGUGCUGGGUGCAGCCUAGGGACUUGGUGCCUGCCCUGUGUCCCAGCUGCUCCAGCCAGGGGUGGAAUGAUAUGGUUUGGCUGUGUCCCCACACAAAUCUCAACUUGAAUUUUAUCUCCCAGAAUUCCCCCUGUUGUCAGAGGGACCUGAAUCGGGGGAGGUAACUGAAUCAUGGGGGCUGGUCUUUGCUGUGCUAUUAUUGUGAUAGUGAAUUAAGUCUCAUGAGAUCUGAUGGAUUUAUCAGGGAUUUCUGCUUUUGCUUCUUCCUCAUUUUUCUCUUGCUGCCACCACAUAAGAAGUGACUUUCACCUCCUGCCAUGCUUCUGAGGGCUCCCCAGCCAUGUGGAACUAUGGUGCCUUAUUCCAAGAUUUCAGUGUACAAUGCUCAAGUUCAGUGAACUUUCCAAGAUUACUAUGCAUUUCCCAAGGAGAAGAGACAUACAAAAAUUACUCUGCCAAUUACAUAUGCUAGUUUCAUUAAUACCUUCAUUUAAUUGACUGGGAUUUAUGAAAGAUCUAGUAAUGAAGCCAUACUGUGCCAUAACUUAUCCCACCUUGCAAGAAGAAAACGGAAGCUCAGAUGGAUUAAAACUAUAUGCUCUCUGGGGCAGGGACGGGGUCUGUUUUGUUCUUCAGUGUAUUUUCAUGGCCCUACACAGUGUAGUGUGGUGGUAAUAGAGCACAGCCAUUUGGAGCUCAGUGUCUGGAGUCAGACAGACCUGGCUUGGGGCAGAAGCCUCAGGUGAGGAAACAGGUUAGGCUUUAAAAAUAAAGACUUAAAGGUGAACAUGUAUUACAGGUAAUAUCUCAGUUUCCUCACCUCUUAAAAUGAUAUGAAUAUCUAAUAAAGUGUUGGAUAAUGAAAUAAUACAUGUAAUGUGAUCAAAUAGUGUCUGUUACAUAGCUAACAUUUAUUAAUAAAAUUCUCAUCAUUAUCCUUAUCUGGCACUUGGCAUCAUUAUAAAAUGAAUGGCUGAA